rnacentral:rRNA from 1 species
UACGAAGGGGGCUAGCGUUGCUCGGAAUCACUGGGCGUAAAGCGCACGUAGGCGGCUUUCUAAGUCAGGGGUGAAAUCCUGGAGCUCAACUCCAGAACUGCCUUUGAUACUGAGGAUCUUGAGUUCGGGGAGAGGUGAGUGGAACUGCGAGUGUAGAGGUGAAAUUCGUAGAUAUUCGCAAGAACACCAGUGGCGAAGGCGGCUCACUGGCCCGAUACUGACGCUGAGGCACGAAAGCGUGGGGGAGCAAACAGGG